GACGGAAGGUGCAAGCGUUGCUCGGAAUUACUGGGCGUAAAGCGUGCGCAGGCGGUUUUGUAAGCCAGAUGUGAAAGCCCCGGGCUUAACCUGGGAAUGGCAUUUGGGACUGCAAGGCUGGAGUGUGGCAGAGGAGACUGGAAUUCCUGGUGUAGCAGUGAAAUGCGUAGAUAUCAGGAGGAAUACCGAUGGCGAAGGCAGGUCUCUGGGCUGACACUGACGCUCAUGCACGAAAGCGUGGGGAGCAAACAGG
rnacentral:rRNA from 1 species